UAACGAAGACGACGCGAGGAUGGGAGCAGCGUCUCGUUUUGGCGUCUGUCUUUUUAAAUUCGGGCAGCGACCUGAAGCAGAUGCUGCCCCGGGUCACCUGGAAGGGCGUGUUGAUGCGGCUGACCAAUGUGUCUAGGAUAUGAACAUUCUCAUGCUGGUGCAGCAAGAUAAAGCUGAGGAAUGUCUGCAGGAGGGCGGGCUCCAUGACGCUGCGCAGGAACAGCUCCAGCGGAGGGGCAAUGGGAGAGCCCCCCCC